UACAGAGGUCUCAAGCGUUGUUCGGAUUCAUUGGGCGUAAAGGGUGCGUAGGUGGCGCCGUAAGUGGGGUGUGAAAUUUCGGAGCUUAACUCCGAAACUGCAUUCCAUACUGCGGUGCUUGAGGACUGGAGAGGAGACUGGAAUUUACGGUGUAGCGGUGAAAUGCGUAGAUAUCGUAAGGAAGACCAGUGGCGAAGGCGGGUCUCUGGACAGUUCCUGACGCUGAGGCACGAAAGCCAGGGGAGCAAACGGG
rnacentral:rRNA from 1 species